rnacentral:rRNA from 1 species
AUAGUACCUUCUGCUCAAUGAUUGAUUUUAAAUAGCCGCAGUACCCUGACUGUGCAAAGGUAGCAUAAUCAUUUGACUUAUAAUUGAAGUCUGGAAUAAAUGAAUCCAUGAAGGUUAACUGUCUUUCUUCUUCUUUAUAUAAAAAUUGAUAAUGAAGUGAAAAUACUUCAAUAUAUAAAAAAGACGAGAAGACCCUUGAAAUUUUUAUUAAUUAAUACAUUAGAAUUUAAGUUUUUGUUGGGGCAACAUAGUAUCAAAUUAUAAUAUACUCAAAAAAAUAUAAAUAUAUUUUUAUAAAUAAACAAAUUACUCUAGGGAUAACAGCAUAAUCUCUUAUGGUUUGUGACCUCGAUGUUGGAUUAGGAAUAUUUAAUC